GAUGAACGCUGGCGGCGUGCCUAAUACAUGCAAGUCGAGCGAACGGACGAGAAGCUUGCUUCUCUGAUGUUAGCGGCGGACGGGUGAGUAACACGUGGAUAACCUACCUAUAAGACUGGGAUAACUUCGGGAAACCGGAGCUAAUACCGGAUGAUAUUUUGAACCGCAUGGUUCAAAAGUGAAAGACGGUCUUGCUGUCACUUAUAGAUGGAUCCGCGCUGCAUUAGCUAGUUGGUAAGGUAACGGCUUACCAAGGCAACGAUGCAUAGCCGACCUGAGAGGGUGAUCGGCCACACUGGAACUGAGACACGGUCCAGACUCCUACGGGAGGCAGCAGUAGGGAAUCUUCCGCAAUGGGCGAAAGCCUGACGGAGCAACGCCGCGUGAGUGAUGAAGGUCUUCGGAUCGUAAAACUCUAUUAUUAGGGAAGAACAAAUGUGUAAGUAACUGUGCACAUCUUGACGGUACCUAAUCAGAAAGCCACGGCUAACUACGUG
rnacentral:rRNA from 1 species